rnacentral:rRNA from 1 species
GAUGAACGCUGGCGGCGUGCCUAAUACAUGCAAGUAGAACGCUGAAGCUUGGUGCUUGCACCGAGCGGAUGAGUUGCGAACGGGUGAGUAACGCGUAGGUAACCUGCCUCUUAGCGGGGGAUAACUAUUGGAAACGAUAGCUAAUACCGCAUAAAAGUCGAUAUCGCAUGAUAUUGAUUUGAAAGGUGCAAAUGCAUCACUAAGAGAUGGACCUGCGUUGUAUUAGCUAGUUGGUGAGGUAACGGCUCACCAAGGCGACGAUACAUAGCCGACCUGAGAGGGUGAUCGGCCACACUGGGACUGAGACACGGCCCAGACUCCUACGGGAGGCAGCAGUAGGGAAUCUUCGGCAAUGGGGGCAACCCUGACCGAGCAACGCCGCGUGAGUGAAGAAGGUUUUUGGAUCGUAAAGCUCUGUUGUAAGAGAAGAACGAGUGUGAGAGUGGAAAGUUCACACUGUGACGGUAACUUACCAGAAAGGGACGGCUAACUACGUG